CUAACCUGCACAAUGUGCACAUGUACCCUAAAACUUAAAGUAUAAUGAUAAUAAUUUAAAAAAAAGAAAAAAAAAAAGGAAAGAAGCACUGAAGAAGAUAGGACAGACAGUCUUGAAUUGCUGACAUCACCCCUCUCCCUCCCCCCAGCACUGGCCACGUGGCAUGGAGAGAGAAUAUGUGUGCUUUGGGGAGAGGGACUGCAGUGAUUGUGGGACUUUGCAUUGGAACUCAGCACUGCCCUGUCACAGUGGAAAGAAACCUAGGACAGAAUUUGGCCAGCACCUAUGAAGGAACAUUUAGGCCAGCCUUAGACAGAGGGGAAUCAUCCAUUCCAGUGGUUGGAACCUGAGUUCCAGCUAGCCCCCCCACCACAGGCUAAAGCACUCCGGGGUCCUAAAUAAACAUGAAAGUCAGUCUAGGCCACAAGGAUUGCAAUUCCUGGGCAAGUCCUGGUACUGUUCUGGGCUCAGAACAAGUGGACUUGGGGUACACACAACUCAGUGAGACACUAGAUGGGGCAGCCAAAGAAAUGCUUAAAUCACCCUUUUCCCAUUCCAAGACAAUGUAGCUUACAGGCCCAGGAGAGACUUCUUCCUUUUGCUUGAGGAAAGGAGAGAGGAGACUAAAGAGGACUGUCUUGCAACUUGGAUACCAGCUAAUCCACAGUAGAAGAGGUCACCAGGCAGUCGUGAGGCCUCCAUUCCAGGCCCUAACUCCCAGAUGACAUUUCUAGACAUACGCUAGGCCAGAAGAGAAACUGUUGUUGCCUUGAAGUAAAGGACCCAGUCCUAGCAGGAUUCGUCACCUGAUGACUAAAGAGCUGCUGAGCCUUGAAUAAACAUCAGCAGUAGCCAGGCAGUGGUCUCUGCAGGUCAGGCAAGACUCAAUGCUAUGCUGGCUUUGGCUCUGACACAGUGCAGGGCCAGUGGUGGUGGCCACAGGGGUGUUUGUGUCACCCCUCAACCAGCUCCACGUAGCCCAGCAUGGACAGAGAGAGAUACUCUGUUUGGGGGAAAAUAAAGGAAGAGAAAAAGUGUCUCUGCCUAGUAAUCCAGAGAAUUCUCCCAGAUCUUUCCCAAGACCACCAAGAUGGUACCUCUAUAAGUGUGCAAGAAUCACAAUGUUAUCAGGCCUGGGGUGCCCCAUAACACAGAUAAUAAAGACUUUCCCAGACAAACAGAAUCUGAGGGAUUUAAACACCAGUGACCAAAUAUUUAGAUUAUAAUACUCGAUUCCUUUUGAAUACUUAGAAAGCCUUCCCAAGAAGGAUGGGUACAAACAAGCUCAGACAGUGAAGACUAUAAUAAAUACCUAACUCUUCAAUGUCUAAACACUGAUGAACAUCCACAAGCAUCAAGACCAUCCAGGAAAACAUGAACUUACCAAACAAACUAAAUAAGGUACCAGUGACCAAUCCUGGAGUGACAGAGAGAUGUGAUCUUUCAGACAAAGCAUUCAAAAAUCAUGAGGAAACUCAAUGAAAUUUAAGAUAACUCAGAGAAGGAAUUAAGAAUCCUAUUAGAUAAAUUCAACAAAGAGAUUGAAAUAAUUUUUAAAAAUCAAGCUGAAUUUCUGCAGCUGAAAAAUGCAACUGAGAUACUGAAGACAUACAGAGUAUCUUAACAGCAGAACUGAUCAAGCAGAAGAAAGAAUUAGUGAGCUUGAAGACUGGCUAUUUGAAAAUACACAGUCAGAGGAGACAAAAGAAGAAAGAAUGAAGCAUGCCUACAAGAUCUGAAAAAAAAUAGCCUCAAAGGGGCAAAUCUAAGGAUUAUUGGCCUUAUAGAGGAGGUAGAGAGAAAAAUUAGGGUAGAGAUAAUAACAGACAACUUUCCAAAACUAGAGAAAGAUAUCAAUAUUCAAGUACAAGAAGGAUAUAGAACACAAAACAUCUUUAACUCAAAUUAGACUACCCCCAAAGCAUUAACAAUCAAACUCCCAAAGGUCAAGGAUAAAUAAAGGAUCCUAAAAGCAGCAAGAGAAAGGAAACAAAUAACAUACAAAGGAGCUCCAGUACAACUAGCAGCAGACUUCUCAAUAGAAACCUUACAGGCCAGGAGAGAGUGGCAUGACAUAUUUAAAGUGCUGAAGGAAAAAAAAAAUUAUCCUAGAAUAGUAUAUCAAGCAAAAGUGUCCUUCAAACCAAAAGGAGAAAUGAAGACUUUCCCAGACAAACAGAAGCUGAGGGAUUUAAACACCAGACCUGUCCUACAAGAAAUGCUAAAGGGAGCUCUUCAAUCUGAAAGAAAAGGAUGUUCGGGCAGAUCACAAGGUCAAGAGAUUGAGACCAUCCUGGCCAACAUGGUGAAACCCCGUCUCUAUUAAAAAUACAAAAAUUAGCUGGGCGUGGUGGUGCACGCCUGUAGUCCCAGCUACUCGGGAAGCUGAGGCAGAAUCACUUGAACCUGGGAGGUGGAGGUUGCAGUGAGCCGAGAUCGCACCACUGCACUCCGGCCUGGGCGACAGAGCGAGACUCCAUCUCAAAAAAAAAAAAAAAAAAAAGAAAAAAACAGAAAAAAAGAAAUCAUCUGAAGGCACAAAACUCACUGGUAAUAGUAAGUAAACAGAGAAACACAGAAUAUUAUAACUGAAAUUGUGGUGUGUAAACUACUUAUAUCUUGAGUAGAAAGACUAAAAGAUGAACCUAUCAAAAAUAAUAACUACAACAAUUUUUAAAGGCAUAGACAGUGUAAUAAGAUAUAAAUAGAAACAACAAAGAGUUAAAAAGUGGGGGAAGGAGAAUAAAGUUAAAAUGUAGAGUUUGUAUUAGUUUUCUCUUUGCUUGUUUGUAGUUUGUUUCUGCAAUCAGUGUUAGGUUGUCAUUAGUUUAAAAUAAUGAGUUUUAAGAUGUUAUUUAUAAACCUCAUGGCAACUUCAAAUCAGAGAACCUACAACAGAUACAUAAAAAAUAAAAAGCAAGAAAUUAAAACAUACCACCAGAGAAAACCACCUUCACAAAAAGGAAGAAAGGAAGGAAAGAAGGAAGAAAAGACCACAAAACAAUCAGAAAACAAAUAACAAAAUGGCAAAAGUAACUCCUUAUUCAUCAAUACUACCAUUGAAUGUAAAUGGACUAAACUCUCCAAUCAAGACACAUACAAUGGUUGAAUGGAUAAAUAAACAGGAUCCAACAAUCUGUUGCCUACAAGAAACACACUUCACCUAUAAAGACACACAUAGACUGAAAAUAAAGGGAUGAAAAAAGAUAUUCCAUGCCAGUGGAAACCAAAAAAGAGCAGCAGUAGCUUACGCUUAUAUCAGACAAAAUAGAUUUUAAGACACAAACUAUAAAAAGAGACAAAGAAAGUCAUUAUAUGAUAAUAAAGAGGUCAAUUCACCAGGCAUGGUGGCUCAUGCCUGUAAUUCCAGCACUUUGGGAGGCCUGGCAGAUCACUUGAGGCCAGGAAUUCAAGACCAGCCUGACCAACAUGGCAAAAACCCAUCUCUACUAAAAAUACAAAAAUUAUCUGGGUGUGAUGGCAUAUGCCUGUAAUCCCAGCUACUUGGGAAGCUGAGGCACAAGAAUCUCUUGAACCUGGGAGGCAGAGGUUGCAGUGAGCCAAGAUUGUCUCAGCCUGGGCAACAGGGUGAGACUCUGUCUCAAAAAAAAAAAAAAAAAAAAGUCAAUUCAGCAGAAAUUCUGGAACUGAGGACUGAAUAAUUCAUUAAAUGAAAUACAAAGCAACAUUCAGGCUGGGCACAGUGGCUCACACCUGUAAUCCCAGCACUUUGGGAGGCCGAAGCAGGUAGAUCACUUGAGGUCAGGAGUUCGAGACCAGCCUGGCCAACUUGGUGAAACCCUGUCUCUACUAAAAAUACAAAAAUUAGCCAAGCAUGGUGGUGGGUAUCUGUAAUCCCAGCUACUUGGAAGGCUGAGACAGGAGAAUCACUUGAACGUGGGAGACGGAGGUUGCAGUGAGCUGAGAUCAUGCCACUGCACUCCAGCCUGAGCAACAGAGCGAGACUCCAUCUCAAAAAAAAAAAAAAUUAUAACAUUCAAAAGCUUCAACAAUAGAUUAAAUCAAGUGGAAGAAAACAUCUCAGAACUUAAAGACAGGUCUUUUUAAAAUAUCCCAGUCAGGCAAAAAUGAAGAAAAACAUUAAAAAGAAUGAAACAAGUCUACAAGAUGUAUGAGACACCAUAAAGACCAAAUAUUUAUUUUCCAGUAUCCCAGAAGGCAAAGAAAAAAUGAAAGGUAUAGCAAACCUAUUUAAUGAAAUAAUAUCUGAAAACUGCCCAAGUCUAGCAAGAGAUUUAGACAUCCAGAAAACUCGACACGCAAAUCCAUAUAAUCUAAAAAAAUCUUCUCCACAGCACAUUAUAGUCAAACUGUCAAAAGUCAAAGACAAAGAGAGAAUUCUAAAAACAGCAAGAAAAGAAUGUUUUAUCACUUAUAAAAGAACCCCCAUAAGGCCUGGCAUGGUGGCUUAUGCUUGUAAUCCCAGCACUUUGGGAGGCUGAGGCGGGUGGAUCAUGAGGUCAGGAGAUCAAGACCAUCCUGGCUAACAUGGUGAAACCCUGUCUCUACUAAAAAUACAAAAACAAAACUAGCCAGGUGUGGUGGCAGGUGCCUGUAGUCCCAGCCACUCAGGAGGCUGAGGCGGGAGAAUGGUGUGAACCUGGCAGGCGGAGCUUGCAGUAAGCCAAGAGCGCGCCACUACACUCCAGCCUGGGCGACAGAGCGAGACUCCGUCUCAAGAAAAAAAAAAAAAAUACCAUAAGACUAAGCAGACUUCUCAGCAGAACCUUAUAGGCCAGGAGAAAAUGGGAUGGUAUAUUCAAACCAUUCAAACCAAUGUUACAAAAAUUAGUAGCAUUUCUAUAUGCCAACAGUGAACAGCUGAAAAAGAAAUCAGACCAGGUGCAGUGGCUCAUGCCUGUAAUCCCAACACUUUGGGAGGCCGAGGCAGGAGGACCACCUGAAGUCAGGAGUUCAAGACCAGCCUAGCCAACAUGGUGAAACCCCAUCUCUACUAAAAUACAAAAAAUUAGCUGGGUGUGGUGGCUCGUGCCUGUAAUAAAUCCCCGCUACUUGGGAGGCUGGGGCAGGAGAACUGCUUGAACCUGGGAGGCAGAGGUUGCAGUAAGCUGAGAUCACGCCCCUGCACUCCAGCCUGGGUGACAGAGUGAGAGUCUGUCUCAAAAAAAAAAAAAAAAAAAGAUUAAUGAUGAAAGGAAGAAAGGAAGAAAAUGAAGGAGGGAGGGAAGAUUACCCUCACUUGCAGGUUCUAUGCUGUUCCUGUAAUCCCAGUGCUUGGGGCCGUGUCUCCUUUGUUCUCUAGUAUUAGAUCCCGGAAGAACUACAGAAAGGCUGGCAUGAUAACUAGUGCUUGCCCUCCACCUUUGGGCUCUGGGACUGGCACCCACGCUCCCUGGACCAGACAGUAAAGCUGCAUUUCAACCUCAAAAUUGGCAUCAGACCCAGCCUCAAACAGCUGGCUCUGAACUCCAGGGCUCCUGCCACCCUAGGCUUGCUCCUAGAACUCUGAAGAGGAGCUGGUGGUCUGAUUAUUCCACAUUCUGCUCUUUUGGGAGCAAUCAUGGCACUUUGGCUGAGAAAUGUUAUAUUCAGACAUUUCAAGUUGAUGUGGCUGAAAAUUUUAACUUGAAAAAGAUAUUUCACACAUAUUAAUAAUAGUUCAUAGUUUCAAACAUGUUUAUUUCAAUAAAUAAUUAUAUAUGUGUAUAUGUGGGUGUGGUGUGGUUGGGCGUGUUUGUGUCUGUCUCCAUGUAUGCUGGAUUUAUCUACUUCUCAUUCAUUUUUGGUGAUGAUUAUUCUUCUAACACAACACUACAAAAAAUACCAGUGAAUCAUCAAUGAUUAACUUGUUGAAAAUAGUUUUCCUCUGGCUUCAUGAUUACCUGCUUCAAUAAAAUAAAAUAAUCACAGCAUUAUUUAAUUUCCUGACCCAACUACCAAAUUAAUCUAAAAUAAAACAAGUUACUAUAAUCCCCCAGUUUUCUUUAGACUAGCUGGACUUUUGGCAGUCAGAAUCACUUCAAAUCUGGAAGUAACAAAGAAAAGAAAAAGCAAAAUGUCUUUCUCUCCAGUAGAAAAAGAAGAACCCUCCCUGUUACAGGCUGUGACUUGUCAAUCUGCUCACAGACGUUAUGACACCCUCUUAUUGGCAGAGCUCCGAAAGUGCCAGCUGCUUCUCACUAAAGCCAAGAGGUGUGGAAGAAUAAAAGGGAAAAUGAAAUAAGAAAAAAGAGUAUAUUCACGGAAGAUCAUGAGAUCCCAGCACAAAUCCUGAUUCUACAGAUAGAUAUCUGUAUUAAAUCAUUUAAGCUCUCUGAGCCUCUGUUUCUUCAUCAGUAAAACAGGAAGAUAAUACUGUGCUACAGGGGCUUGAGGAGAUUAAUAAAAAACACAUGACAGUGUUUAGAACAGCUUCUGACCCAGUUGCACUCAAUAAAUAUUUCCUUAUUGUUGUGAUGACAAAUUAUUUUUUCUUUAGGCCUUUUAGACUUAAUUAGAAGUAGAGUGUCAUUAUAGAUAAUAGUAAAUCAUGUAGAAAGGUGUGUUUGAACUGUACUUGUAGACUACAAGUUGGGAACCCCUUAAUGUGAGGAAGGUUGACGUUAGAAGCCAACUAUGUACUAUUUUUUUUUCUUGAGACAGAGUUUCACUCUUGUUGCCCAGACUGGAGUGCAAUGGAACAAUCUCAGCUCACUGCAUUCUCUGCCUCCCAGGUUCAAGUGAUUCUCCUGCCUCAGCCUCCCAGAUAGCUGGUAUUACAGGCACCCACUACCAUGCCCGGCUAACUUUUGUAUUUUUAGUAGAGACGGGGUUUCAUCAUGUUGGCCAGGCUGGUCUCAAACUCCUGACCUCAGGUGAUCAGCCUCAGCCUCCCAAAGUGCUGGGAUUCCAGGUAUGAGCCACCGUGCCCGGCUUUAUGUACUGCUUAAGACAGAAAAAAUAGGUUUCAUUUUGAGUGACAACUCAGAUAAACUAGUAGUGGAUGCCUGAAGCACUAUGGUAGGAAGGAUCCUGAAGCUGAGUUUUAAAUCCAGAGCAAGAGAGAUGUAAUAGAUGGCAACACCUACCAUGACUGCAGAAGGGGAAGUGAUGGCUCAUGCCAUUCCUGAUAUUCUAUGCACAAAGGAUACAACUUCAAUGAGUUUUGUAGCCAGCCUCACAAGAGAAAUUCAGACAAGUAAUAAUAAUUAUUAAACCAAGAAAUAACUUAAGAAUCACUUCAUUUACAAAAAAAAUUCAGCACUGCUGCCAGUGCUCAGCACUCAUGUGGACCACAGCCCCGAGGACAGGUCUGUGACACCUUCUGCUGCAGCCACUGGCACCCACAUGUGCCACCCAGGGGCCCCACAGCCAACCUGCUGCCACUACUGCUACCAGUGGUGCCAUGCAUGCCAGCCAAGGGCCAAAGGCCUGUCUCCCAGCCCACCACUGCUACUCCCAGCACAUGAGGAUGCCAUCUGGAGGCUACAGAAUGUGCCCAUACAGGGCCUCCACCUCCACUAGCACCCACAUAUGCUUCCCAGGGGCAUGAAGACCAGUAUGCCUGUCUCACCAACACCACCACUGGUGCCUGAAGAUGGCUCACUUGGUGUCCCCAUCCCCAGCGAAGCCUCGCCACAGCCUCCACUAACAAGUUCAGCCUAAGUCAUCAAGGAACUCACAGACACCAAUGACACUGAUUACAGUGAAAGAAAUCAUAUGGAGACUACACUACUGUGCCCACUCAGAAUUGAAGCCAAAAUACCCAAUCCAACCAUCACUAUAGAUACAACUACAGGAAAAAUCUUUGCCUGCAAAAGCCAAUCCAUAAAAUUGGAAGAAGUGACUGUUGUACCAGAUGCACAGA
rnacentral:lncRNA from 1 species